rnacentral:rRNA from 1 species
GUUAAAAAGCUCGUAGUCGGAUUUUGGCUGAGAACGGUCGGUCCGCCGUUAGGUGUGCACUGACUGGUCUCAGCUUCCUGGUGAGGAGGUGUGCUUCAUCGCCACUUAGUCACCGUGGUUACUUUGAAAAAAUUAGAGUGUUCAAAGCGGGCUUACGCUUGAAUAUAUUAGCAUGGAAUAACACCAUAGGACUCCUGUCCUAUUUCGUUGGUCUCGGGACGGGAGUAAUGGUUAAGAGGAACAGUUGGGGGCAUUCGUAUUUCAUUGUCAGAGGUGAAAUUCUUGGAUUUAUGAAAGACGAACUUCUGCGAAAGCAUUUGCCAAGGAUGUUUUCAUUGAUCAAGAACGAAAGUUGGGGGCUCGAAGAUGAUUAGAUGCCAUCCUAGUCUCAACCAUAAACGAUGCCGACUAGGGAUUGGCGGAUGUUAAUUGAUGACUUCGCCAGCACCUUAUGAGAAAUCAAAGUUUUUGGGUUCCGGGGGGAGUAUGGUCGCAAGGCUGAAACUUAAAGGAAUUGACGGAAGGGCACCACCAGGAGUGGAGCCUGCGGCUUAAUUUGACUCAACGCGGGGAAACUUACCAGGUCCAGACAUAGUAAGGAUUGACA